AUUGAACGCUGGCGGCAGGCCUAACACAUGCAAGUCGAACGGUAACAGGAAGCAGCUUGCUGCUUUGCUGACGAGUGGCGGACGGGUGAGUAAUGUCUGGGAAACUGCCUGAUGGAGGGGGAUAACUACUGGAAACGGUAGCUAAUACCGCAUAACGUCGCAAGACCAAAGGGGGGGACCUUCGGGCCUCUUGCCAUCGGAUGUGCUCAGAUGGGAUUAGCUAGUAGGUGGGGUAACGGCUCACCUAGGCGACGAUCCCUAGCUGGUCUGAGAGGAUGACCAGCCACACUGGAACUGAGACACGGUCCAGACUCCUACGGGAGGCAGCAGUGGGGAAUAUUGCACAAUGGGCGCAAGCCUGAUGCAGCCAUGCCGCGUGUAUGAAGAAGGCCUUCGGGUUGUAAAGUACUUUCAGCGGGGAGGAAGGGAGUAAAGUUAAUACCUUUGCUCAUUGACGUUACCCGCAGAAGAAGCACCGGCUAACUCCGUG
rnacentral:rRNA from 1 species